CUUGAUGCAGUGGCUAAUGAUGUGUUUAAGAAUGUUCCACAUGUCUGCUUAUAAUUUCUAAACCUCACACAAAAAGGUCAUGCUCGAUGCUUCAAAACAAACAGGAUGCUUGAUGAGCUGUCAUUCUCUUCAAAGAGGUUAACCAAGGUUCUCACAACUUUUUCCACCAUAUAACACACUGUAGCCCCGAAAAUUCAUG